GGCUGUGUCCCAAUUCCUAGGACGCAUCCUUCGAAGGCUGCAUUCGAAGGAUGCGUCGACGCCGAUUGCGUCACAGCGUCGCGCCAAGUGCUGUCCCAAUUCCAAGGGUCCUUCAAAUGCGGCCUACGAAUGCAGCCUUCUUUUCCCGGAUUUGAAGGAUGCAUCGGCUGUAUCCUUCACGGCCCAACGCAUCCCAAGAUCCUUCACGGCCCAACGUAUCCCUCCCAAGAUUCAUUGCGCAUUCAAUCAAUGGAGAUGGCGGAGAAUGGCGAUUUAAGUUCUGCAUUUAAAUGGGGCCAGCAGCAUACUGCUCGAUUUAUUCUAUUGAGGGGGAGAAUGAUGAGCUGUUCACCGGGGUGAAAUACUCAGCAAGUGUGGCUUGGGGGUAAAGAAACAAUCGUUUAUUUAUAUCGACAAUUCUGGAGAAAAUAGGCCUGCAGGGGAAGGUGUCUCCCCCGCAGGCAAAGAAAAACUUUUGCUGAAAUUUGUUUUGAUACUGCUCUUGUUGUUAACUGCCAUGAUUGAUUUCCUCUGCCUUAGGAUUGCAAGUAUCCAGGGUCAGGAGAGGGGGUAGGUGGGAAACCCACUGCUGCCACUUGGCCCUGGUUUGUCCCCUUGGAUAAGGUACUGUGACAUAUGCAUUCCACCAACCCCCCUGUCCUAAUUGCCUCCAUCCCUGAGAACACA
ensembl:lncRNA